rnacentral:rRNA from 1 species
AUUGAACGCUGGCGGCAUGCCUUACACAUGCAAGUCGAACGGCAGCAUAGGAGCUUGCUCCUGAUGGCGAGUGGCGAACGGGUGAGUAAUAUAUCGGAACGUGCCCUAGAGUGGGGGAUAACUAGUCGAAAGACUAGCUAAUACCGCAUACGAUCUACGGAUGAAAGUGGGGAAUCGCAAGACCUCAUGCCCUUGGAGCGGCCGAUAUCUGAUUAGCUAGUUGGUGGGGUAAAAGCGCACCAAGGCGACGAUCAGUAGCUGGUCUGAGAGGACGACCAGCCACACUGGGACUGAGACACGGCCCAGACUCCUACGGGAGGCAGCAGUGGGGAAUUUUGGACAAUGGGGGCAACCCUGAUCCAGCAAUGCCGCGUGAGUGAAGAAGGCCUUCGGGUUGUAAAGCUCUUUUGUCAGGGAAGAAACGGUUCUGGAUAAUACCUGGGACUAAUGACGGUACCUGAAGAAUAAGCACCGGCUAACUACGUGCCAGCCGCCGCGGUAA